GUAAUAGCGUACUUACCCGAUGUAUUCGCUUCUGCAGUCUGCACAGCACUCAGCGUGGCCAUUGCGGACUUGCAUGAGGUCUUGAAGUUUGAUUGAAUCGAGACAGCGCAAAUGACAGGU
rnacentral:lncRNA from 1 species